rnacentral:rRNA from 1 species
UACGUAGGGUGCAAGCGUUGUCCGGAAUUAUUGGGCGUAAAGAGCUCGUAGGCGGUUUUGUCGCGUCUGCUGUGAAAAACUCGGGGGCUUAACCCCCGGGCCGCAGUGGGGUACGGGGCAGACUAGAGUGCGGUAGGGGGGAGACUGGAAUUCCUGGUGUAGCGGUGAAAAUGCGCAGAUAUCAGGAGGAACACCGGUGGCGA